rnacentral:rRNA from 1 species
GAUGAACGCUGGCGGCGUGCCUAAUACAUGCAAGUCGAGCGAACAGACGAGGAGCUUGCUCCUCUGACGUUAGCGGCGGACGGGUGAGUAACACGUGGAUAACCUACCUAUAAGACUGGGAUAAUUUCGGGAAACCGGAGCUAAUCCCGGAUAAUAUAUUGCACCGCAUGGUUCAAUAGUGAAAUACGGUUUUGCUGUCACUUCUAGAUGGUUCCGCGCCGCAUUGGCUGGUUGUGAAGGUAAUGGGUUUCCAAGGGUACGAUGCGUAGCCGACCUGACGGGGUGGUCGCCCGCACUAGAAGUGAGACAGGGACCAGGCUCCUGCGGGAGGGAGCAGUAGGGAAUCUUACGCAAUGGGCGAGAGCCUGACGGAGCAACGCCGCGUGAGUGAUGAAGGUCUUCGGAUCGUAAAACUCUGUUAUUAGGGAAGAACAAAUGUGUAAGUAACUAUGCACGUCUUGACGGUACCUAAUCAGAAAGCCACGGCUAACUACGUG